ensembl:lincRNA
AGCAUAACUGACCGCUGUGUGCAGGGUUAAAGCUCCCUCCUGCUGUGCACUUCCUGGGUCCCUGGACACCCAGGCAGCCGGCAUCCAGCCCUGAUGACAACUCCCGAGCGCCUGAGGCCCCAGAGCCUGCCUGUUGGCUUUUUCAGAGACUUGGGAAACUAAGCCGCGCACGGAGGGGUUGCCAACUGGCUCCUGUCUGCAUGAUCCUCUGCUGUGUCCCGGUAUGGGUGGCCGUUUUGACCUGGGCUGGCAGCUGCUACUUGCUCUCUGCUCUCUGGUCAGUCAGGCUGUUGGACAUCCAGCCUCGGUUCUCUGGACACCCACCCCGAGGGGAGAUUUGCACGUCCACACAGAAUGAACCUGGCAAGGCUCUUGGCCUUACGGAGCUUCGGAUCAGAGGUGGAGAGAAGGCGCAGCCCCAUGCGUGGACAAGCACAAGCCUCUCAGCUGUGCAGGGAGGAGCGGGGCCAUGACCUUUUCCGGUGAGAACGGUGUAGGCAGUGUUCCUGUACAUGGGGUGAAAAGCCAGCAUGUCGCUUACUUGCAUCGGUUCUCCUCGGUUAUACAGUCCAGCUAAGCAUACCAUAGCAUCAGACUGCAUUUCGACGCAGGACUCACAGAACACUAAAAUCACAGCAGCACUGGGGACUUGGAACACCUCUCUCCGAAACAAGCCAAGUAGACCACCCACUAGCAAAGAUCCGCACAGCUUAACUAUAGCGGUGUCAACAAUAACUUUGAAGUCAUUCAAGUGGCUGUUUUCCCCUAGCUCUGGAAGAAAAGGGAAUGGUCUUAGUCCUUACUUACAAACAGUUUGAGAGAGAACAAAGCACUGGUGAUUCUGUGGUUGUUAAGAGGACUGCUCUUCUCUAUUUCAGCUUCAGAGACCCAUUUGUUUUCCAUUUAACAGCGUGACAUGGGUCCUAUUUCACCCACAGACUUCAUGUCAGGUCCCAUUAGGAAUUUGGGAGUAACAUUGCUCCUACUGCAGUCACACUCUGAACUCCCUGGUGGGCUUCUCUGUUAGACAUUUUUGCCAGCUUGGUGGGGAGUUGAGGGUAAUUCCAGUACAGGGGGUGUAGAAUCUGUUCCUUGACCCAGUGGAGAAUGUGGAAGCCCAUGCGAGCUUCUGUUGUCUUACUAAGGUAGGCUCAUUUUAAACUUUAUCUUGGGCUGUAUUUACCAGGGGGCCUGGAAAUGAGUAGAUGCUCAAUAAAUAUUUAUUGAACACUUGUGAAAGUUCAUGGAAAGACAAUUGCAUCAUUACAUCGAAGACUUUAAUAUACAGUUGUUAUUUGAUGCUAUUUAAAAGCAGGAAUAAUUUGUGUCUUGGGUUGUUUGUUAGCUUGCAAGCAAUUAUUUCUCAGAACUCCCAAGAUGUGCUUCAUAAACAUGCAGAUCCACAAGACAAAAUUCUCUCAGUUUUAGGGUGCUGUGUGAACUCACAGGGUUCAUAUCACAUAUAUUAAAUUUGCCUUCAACACAAACAGCUUUUCUUCAUGAUGGAAGGUUUUGGGAAUAAAAACGUAUUUUGAUAAUGUAAAAUAGGAG